AGUGAACGCUGGCGGUAGGCCUGACACAUGCAAGUCGAACGGCAGCACAGGAGAGCCUGCUCUCUGGGUGGCGAGUGGCGGACGGGUGAGGAAUACAUCGGAAUCUACUCUGUCGUGGGGGAUAACGUAGGGAUACUUACGCUAAUACCGCAUACGACCUACGGGUGAAAGCAGGGGACCUUCGGGCCUUGCGCGAUUGAAUGAGCCGAUGUCGGAUUAGCUAGUUGGCGGGGUAAAGGCCCACCAAGGCGACGAUCCGUAGCUGGUCUGAGAGGAUGAUCAGCCACACUGGAACUGAGACACGGUCCAGACUCCUACGGGAGGCAGCAGUGGGGAAUAUUGGACAAUGGGCGCAAGCCUGAUCCAGCCAUACCGCGUGGGUGAAGAAGGCCUUCGGGUUGUAAAGCCCUUUUGUUGGGAAAGAAAUCCAGCUGGCUAAUACCCGGUUGGGAUGACGGUACCCAAAGAAUAAGCACCGGCUAACUUCGUGCCAGCAGCCGCAGUAA
rnacentral:rRNA from 1 species